UCCCUGAUGGUCCAGUGGCUAAGACUCUGCUCUCAAAGCAGGGGGCCCGGGUUCGAUCCCUGGUCAGGGAA
rnacentral:tRNA from 2 species